rnacentral:misc_RNA from 1 species
UGGAGUUGUUUUGUGAAAACUCCACAAUUUGCCUCUUGAUUCAUGACAAACACUGAUCUCAUGGAUAAUAAAGCACAGCCAAUUGUGGAGUUUUCACAAAACAACUCCAGACCAAACUAACAAUUAUUCUCAAUUAAACAUGUCUGCUAGAAUUUGGAUGCUUAUGUUGAGCAAGAAUGAGCAAUUUCAUGUGUCAAUUUUGGUUCAAAAUCUUUGAAGUCAAGCAUCAGUCGCAAAUAAGCU